CAGCAGCUUUAGAUACUCGCCUGGAAUCGGUAUUUCAGACCUAUGUCAUGGGUCCCACCUGCUUACCGGCAUGCUUCUUGCAACACGGACUUCGGGUUUUGGAGGGCGUCCCGCGCCUAGCCCUUAGCUCGGGACGGGAUGAAGUGUUCAAGGUUCUCCCCAGUCAUUAUUAUUAUAACACAUCAAAAUCGUCUCGUAAAACCGCUAUGCGCUCUCAAGAUUUCAAUAACACUUCUGAAGUAGAAUUGUUAGAGAUUCAACUCCCCUGCCUUUACUUCCAUCCUACCACUGAGCUCAAUCUCGGGGCUCACGAGGAUAGGACUGCAGGCACUACACUUAUCAUUUAUGUAAUUUAGGUAAUUAGGUAAGGUUAGUCAUUUCACAUAUGCUGAUCCUUCUCUUAUGAUUUUUUUUGCUUGCUUUCGCACGCCGAUCUAAUUGAUCGCAUCGCAAGUUAAGAUGUCGUCGCGUCAAUCAAGUCAAGUAUAAUUGCUGUUUUUUUCCCUUUCUACUUUAGAAUUAGAAACUAAAUGCUAUUCGUUUCUUCCCAAAAUUGCUCAAAGAGCAUGUGUGAAGAAUAUUAUUCUGUCAGAGCCGGAGGAUCUUUGGCAGGCUUUCGCGUAACCCUAGUGAACUCGAGUCGAAGCACCCAAGAAAGGGAAAGACUAGAAGGAUGCUACCCACGCACCAUCAACAAUAGCAGAAGGUCAAGAGCUAGGAAGAGAUGGGAGGGAAGUCCCCAACCUCAAAG
rnacentral:lncRNA from 1 species